rnacentral:rRNA from 1 species
UACGAAGGGGGCUAGCGUUGUUCGGAAUUACUGGGCGUAAAGGGCGCGUAGGCGGUGUGUCAAGUCAGGCGUGAAAGCCCCGGGCUCAACCUGGGAACAGCGCUUGAGACUGGCACGCUCGAGUUCGGGAGAGGAUGGUGGAAUUCCCAGUGUAGAGGUGAAAUUCGUAGAUAUUCGGAGGAACACCAGUGGCGAAGGCGGCUCACUGGUCCAUUACUGACGCUGAGGUGCGAAAGCGUGGGGAGCAAACAGG